rnacentral:rRNA from 1 species
GGAGCGUUCUGUAAGCCUGCGAAGGUGUGCUGUGAGGCAUGCUGGAGGUAUCAGAAGUGCGAAUGCUGACAUAAGUAACGAUAAAGCGGGUGAAAAGCCCGCUCGCCGGAAGACCAAGGGUUCCUGUCCAACGUUAAUCGGGGCAGGGUGAGUCGACCCCUAAGGCGAGGCCGAAAGGCGUAGUCGAUGGGAAACAGGUUAAUAUUCCUGUACUUGGUGUUACUGCGAAGGGGGGACGGAGAAGGCUAUGUUGGCCGGGCGACGGUUGUCCCGGUUUAAGCGUGUAGGCUGGUUUUCCAGGCAAAUCCGGAAAAUCAAGGCUGAGGCGUGAUGACGAGGCACUACGGUGCUGAAGCAACAAAUGCCCUGCUUCCAGGAAAAGCCUCUAAGCAUCAGGUAACAUCAAAUCGUACCCCAAACCGACACAGGUGGUCAGGUAGAGAAUACCAAGGCGCUUGAGAGAACUCGGGUGAAGGAACUAGGCAAAAUGGUGCCGUAACUUCGGGAGAAGGCACGCUGAUAUGUAGGUGAAGUCCCUUGCGGAUGGAGCUGAAAUCAGUCGAAGAUACCAGCUGGCUGCAACUGUUUAUUAAAAACACAGCACUGUGCAAACACGAAAGUGGACGUAUACGGUGUGACGCCUGCCCGGUGCCGGAAGGUUAAUUGAUGGGGUCAGCGCAAGCGAAGCUCUUGAUCGAAGCCCCGGUAAACGGCGGCCGUAACUAUAACGGUCCUAAGGUAGCGAAAUUCCUUGUCGGGUAAGUUCCGACCUGCACGAAUGGCGUAAUGAUGGCCAGGCUGUCUCCACCCGAGACUCAGUGAAAUUGAACUCGCUGUGAAGAUGCAGUGUACCCGCGGCAAGACGGAAAGACCCCGUGAACCUUUACUAUAGCUUGACACUGAACAUUGAGCCUUGAUGUGUAGGAUAGGUGGGAGGCUUUGAAGUGUGGACGCCAGUCUGCAUGGAGCCGGCCUUGAAAUACCACCCUUUAAUGUUUGAUGUUCUAACGUGGACCCGUGAUCCGGGUUGCGGACAGUGUCUGGUGGGUAGUUUGACUGGGGCGGUCUCCUCCUAAAGAGUAACGGAGGAGCACGAAGGUUGGCUAAUCCUGGUCGGACAUCAGGAGGUUAGUGCAAUGGCAUAAGCCAGCUUGACUGCGAGCGUGACGGCGCGAGCAGGUGCGAAAGCAGGUCAUAGUGAUCCGGUGGUUCUGAAUGGAAGGGCCAUCGCUCAACGGAUAAAAGGUACUCCGGGGAUAACAGGCUGAUACCGCCCAAGAGUUCAUAUCGACGGCGGUGUUUGGCACCUCGAUGUCGGCUCAUCACAUCCUGGGGCUGAAGUAGGUCCCAAGGGUAUGGCUGUUCGCCAUUUAAAGUGGUACGCGAGCUGGGUUUAGAACGUCGUGAGACAGUUCGGUCCCUAUCUGCCGUGGGCGCU